rnacentral:rRNA from 1 species
CCUACGGGUGGCUGCAGUGGGGAAUAUUGCACAAUGGGCGCAAGCCUGAUGCAGCCAUGCCGCGUGUGUGAAGAAGGCCUUCGGGUUGUAAAGCACUUUCAGCGGGGAGGAAGGCGUUAAGGUUAAUAACCUUGGCGAUUGACGUUACCCGCAGAAGAAGCGCCGGCUAACUCCGUGCCAGCAGCCGCGGUAAUACGGAGGGUGCAAGCGUUAAUCGGAAUUACUGGGCGUAAAGCGCACGCAGGCGGUCUGUCAAGUCGGAUGUGAAAUCCCCGGGCUCAACCUGGGAACUGCAUUCGAAACUGGCAGGCUAGAGUCUUGUAGAGGGGGGUAGAAUUCCAGGUGUAGCGGUGAAAUGCGUAGAGAUCUGGAGGAAUACCGGUGGCGAAGGCGGCCCCCUGGACAAAGACUGACGCUCAGGUGCGAAAGCGUGGGGAGCAAACAGGAUUAGAUACCCGAGUAGUC